rnacentral:lncRNA from 1 species
ACGUGACGGUCGAUAUAGAGUAUAUUUAGUCCCACAUCAGAUAGAUAUUGAGAUAUCUUGAAUACUUAUAAAGGAUUAAAAAUUUAAAAAAUAUUUUUUCAUUAAUUUUUUGGAUAAAAUCAUGCAUCGUUGCAAUGAAUUAUCAUUCAAAUGUCUCCAAGAUAUGGAUGAGGAUCCCUUAGAGUGUCUUGCUGAAUCAAACGGAUUAAUAUCAAGCCA